UACGGAGGGUGCGAGCGUUGUCCGGAAUCACUGGGCGUAAAGGGCGCGUAGGCGGCCUGAUAAGUAGGGGGUGAAAUCCUGCGGCUUAACCGCAGGGCUGCCUUCUAAACUGUCAGGCUGGAGCACAGUAGAGGCAGGUGGAAUUCCCGGUGUAGCGGUGGAAUGCGUAGAGAUCGGGAGGGACACCAGAGGCGAAGGCGGCGACCUGGACAGUUACUGACACUCAACUACGAAAGCGUGGGGGAGCAAACAGGG
rnacentral:rRNA from 1 species